GACGGGUGAGUAACGCGUGAGAAUCUAGCUAGGUCGGGGACAACAGUUGGAAACGGCUGCUAAUACCGGAUGUGCCGAAAGGUAAAGUUUUUGCCUAGAUGAGCUCGCGUCUGAUUAGCUAGUAGGUGUGGUAAGAGCGCACCUAGGCGACGAUCAGUAGCUGGUCUGAGAGGACGAUCAGCCACACUGGGACUGAGACACGGCCCAGACUCCUACGGGAGGCAGCAGUGGGGAAUUUUCCGCAAUGGGCGAAAGCCUGACGGAGCAAUACCGCGUGAGGGAGGAAGGCUCUUGGGUUGUAAACCUCUUUUCUCAGGAAGAACAAUGACGGUACUGAGGAAUAAGCAUCGGCUAACUCCGUGCCAGCAGCCGCGGUAAUACGGAGGAUGCAAGCGUUAUCCGGAAUGAUUGGGCGUAAAGCGUCCGCAGGUGGCAAUGAAAGUCUGCUGUUAAAGAGUGAGGCUCAACCUCAUAAAAGCGGUGGAAACUACAUAGCUAGAGUACGUUCGGGGCAGAGGGAAUUCUGGUGUAGCGGUGAAGCGUAGAGAUCGGAAGAACACCGGUGGCGAAA
rnacentral:rRNA from 1 species